CUUGGUCAUUUAGAGGAAGUAAAAGUCGUAACAAGGUUUCCGUAGGUGAACCUGCGGAAGGAUCAUUACAAAUGACACCAGGCAGCAGAUACUCUUGUCUACUGCCGUCACGGUCGAUCUAUUGCUACCGUAGUCAUGUUCCGGCAUGACUUCGUGUCCACCCAAUGUGAACCUUUAUACUUUGCUUCGGCAGCGCUUAGCGAUUAAAACUCGCAAAGGUAAGGCUGUCGAUAGCACCAAUAAAAACUAGUUGAUUAAAUUUCAUGCUGUCUGAAGCUUUUUGAGAAAUCAAAUUACAAGUUAAAACUUUCAGCAACGGAUCUCUUGGUUCUCGCAUCGAUGAAGAACGCAGCGAAACGCGAUAGGUAAUGUGAAUUGCAGAAUUCCGUGAAUCAUCGAAUCUUUGAACGCACAUUGCGCCUUCUGGUAUUCCGGGAGGCAUGCCUGUUUGAGCGUCAGCAAAAACCCUUCAGCAAACUAUUUUUGUUGUCUGCUAGGUAUUGGGCAUGGAGGAAAAAGGCUUCAUGGUCUUGCUCCUGCUUUAAACUUGCUGCACAACCCCAAACUACUGCUAGGUCUAUGGAAGUGGUGUUUACAUAUAUUUUCCAGUACGAUCAGGCUAGUAUUGUGGCGUUAAAUUAAUGUUGCCUUCAAAAGCAACUGAAGUUUGACCUCAAAUCAGACAAGGAUACCCGCUGAACUUAAGCAUAUCAAUAAGCGGAGGAAAAGAAACCAACAGGGAUUGCCUCAGUAACGGCGAGUGAAGCGGCAAGAGCUCAGAUUUGAAAUCUGGUACUUUCAGUGCCCGAGUUGUAAUCUGCAGAGAGUACUUCGGCUUAGGCUCCGGUCAAGGUCCCUUGGAACAGGGCGACAUAGAGGGUGAGAACCCCGUACCCGGCCGUUUGCCAAUGCCAUGUGAAGUCUCUUCGACGAGUCGAGUUGUUUGGG
rnacentral:sRNA from 1 species